rnacentral:rRNA from 1 species
AACGAACGCUGGCGGCAGGCCUAACACAUGCAAGUCGAGCGCCCCGCAAGGGGAGCGGCAGACGGGUGAGUAACACGUGGGAACGUGCCCGAAGGUACGGAACAACUCCGGGAAACUGGAGCUAAUACCGUAUGUGACCGAGAGGUGAAAGAUUUAUCGCCUUCGGAUCGGCCCGCGUCUGAUUAGCUAGUUGGUGGGGUAAUGGCCUACCAAGGCGACGAUCAGUAGCGGGUCUGAGAGGAUGAUCAGCCACAUUGGGACUGAGACACGGCCCAAACUCCUACGGGAGGCAGCAGUGGGGAAUCUUGGACAAUGGGCGCAAGCCUGAUCCAGCCAUGCCGCGUGGAUGAUGAAGGCCCUAGGGUUGUAAAAUCCUUUCGUCAGGGACGAUAAUGACGGUACCUGAAGAAGAAGCCCCGGCUAACUACGUGCCAGCCGCCGCGGUAAAAC